CAGAUAGGAGGGGGUAAUAGGAUUCCUAAUUCUAGCUAUGUAAGAGCUGGAAUUACUUAAAGAACCAUAGGUUCUCAUUUCUGGAGAAAAAAAGGUGAAAUGACUAUUUUAUCCUGUUCAGAGACAGUCAAGAAAGAAAUUUUAGAAGGAAGAAAGUAGCAUUGAUGACCCUAAGAAUAUUAACCUAGGUUGAAGGAAGAUCGGAUCAGGUGAUAGAAGAUGAAAGACAGUUUACAAAGGAGGAGUCAUCCCUUGUGAGUGUGUGAGCCCUUUGUGUCCUCCAUCUUGGACUGUGCCGCCUCCCUGCCCCUUUGUGCUUCCCUGAUUAAUCCUUUCUCUUUUUUUGGCCUUUGGCCUUGAUUUCAUUGGAAGCUUUUUUAUUUUUUGUUUUGUAUUUCUUUGGAUUAUUUUUGCUGUUGCUGAAAUUGCCAGGCAGCUGGCUUGUGCCAGUAUGCCUGACUGGGAUUAUUUUUUUUCUUUCCUCCCUGAUUUCUUUAUGGAUUCCUCACCCCCCCUUUUUUUGGUCCCCACUUCCAUAUUUUGACUGUUUUUGCUGGCUUGCCUGCUAUUGCCUGUUGAACUCAAAGAAGAAAAGAGAAAACAUCAAGUGGAAGAUUUUAAGGCUUCUAAAGAAGACUUUUGGAGUGCCAGAAAACACCAGUGGAAAAACUUGAAAUGAAAGAACCCCAAAGAGUUAUUUUGUGUAAAUGAAAGGACCAGUACACACACAAAAACAGGGGGGCACCAGAAGAGCCCCCAAAGAGACCAAAACCAGGACUCAAGGUGGCAAGAGAAGCCAAAUGGAAAGAAGAAGCUUGGAUGGCAUUGUUUUAAAUAGCCAUUUUAAGCGGGGGGGUUUUAAAGACCACAUCACAGAAGUGGCAGGAUAGGACAAGAAGAAAGAAAGAAAUUGUAUUUGUUUUCUUGCUUCUUAUUUACCACCACUCAAUAUAAGUAUUUGAAGGAAGCUCACAUAAUAAAAUGUAAAACAAAC